GUGCUUGCUUGGGCAGCACAUAUACUAAAAUCGGAAUGAUACAGAGAAGAUUAGCACAGCCCCUGUGCAAGGACAACAUGCAGAUCUGUGAGGCGUUCAAUACAGAA